rnacentral:rRNA from 1 species
UAGGGAAUAUUGGACAAUGGGUGAGAGCCUGAUCCAGCCAUGCCGCGUGCGUGAAGAAGGCCUUCGGGUUGUAAAGCUCUUUUACCAGGGACGAUAAUGACGGUACCUGGAGAAUAAGCCCCGGCAAACUUCGUGCCAGCAGCCGCGGUAAUACGAAGGGGGCUAGCGUUGUUCGGAAUUACUGGGCGUAAAGCGCACGUAGGCGGAUUGUUAAGUCAGAGGUGAAAUCCCGGAGCUCAACUUCGGAACUGCCUUUGAUACUGGCAAUCUCGAGUCCGGAAGAGGUUAGUGGAAUUCCCAGUGUAGAGGUGAAAUUCGUAGAUAUUAGGAAGAACACCAGUGGCGAAGGCGGCUCACUGGAUCGGUACUGACGCUGAGGUGCGAAAGCGUGGGGAACAAACAGGAUUAGAUACCCCAGUAGUCCCUGAGCGGGCUGGCAAGGCGCAU